rnacentral:rRNA from 1 species
CCUACGGGAGGCAGCAGUGGGGAAUUUUGGACAAUGGGCGCAAGCCUGAUCCAGCAAUGCCGCGUGAGUGAAGAAGGCCUUCGGGUUGUAAAGCUCUUUUGUCAGGGAAGAAACGGUCUACUCUAAUACAGUGGGCUAAUGACGGUACCUGAAGAAUAAGCACCGGCUAACUACGUGCCAGCAGCCGCGGUAAUACGUAGGGUGCAAGCGUUAAUCGGAAUUACUGGGCGUAAAGCGUGCGCAGGCGGUUAUAUAAGUCAGAUGUGAAAUCCCCGGGCUCAACCUGGGAACUGCAUUUGAGACUGUAUGGCUAGAGUGUGUCAGAGGGGGGUAGAAUUCCACGUGUAGCAGUGAAAUGCGUAGAUAUGUGGAGGAAUACCGAUGGCGAAGGCAGCCCCCUGGGAUAACACUGACGCUCAUGCACGAAAGCGUGGGGAGCAAACAGGAUUAGAUACCCUGGUAGUCCACGCCCUAAACGAUGUCUACUAGUUGUCGGGACUUAAUUGUCUUGGUAACGCAGCUAACGCGUGAAGUAGACCGCCUGGGGGNGGUACGGUCGCGAGAGUAAACUACAAUAGAGUAGAGCGNGAGACGAGCGACGGACGACGACGAGGGAGGAGG